UACGUAGGGUGCAAGCGUUAAUCGGAAUUACUGGGCGUAAAGCGUGCGCAGGCGGUUUUUUAAGUCUGACGUGAAAUCCCCGGGCUCAACCUGGGAAUUGCGUUGGAGACUGCAAGGCUGGAAUCUGGCAGAGGGGGGUAGAAUUCCACGUGUAGCAGUGAAAUGCGUAGAGAUGUGGAGGAACACCGAUGGCGAAGGCAGCCCCCUGGGUCAAGAUUGACGCUCAUGCACGAAAGCGUGGGGAGCAAACAGG
rnacentral:rRNA from 1 species